GACGAACGCUGGCGGCGUGCUUAACACGUGCAAGUCGAACGGUAAGGCCCUUUCGGGGGUACACGAGUGGCGAACGGGUGAGUAACACGUGGGUGAUCUGCCCUGCACUUUGGGAUAAGCCUGGGAAACUGGGUCUAAUACCGGAUAGGACUACGCGAUGCAUGUCGUGUGGUGGAAAGCUUUUGCGGUGUGGGAUGGGCCCGCGGCCUAUCAGCUUGUUGGUGGGGUGAUGGCCUACCAAGGCGACGACGGGUAGCCGGCCUGAGAGGGUGUCCGGCCACACUGGGACUGAGAUACGGCCCAGACUCCUACGGGAGGCAGCAGUGGGGAAUAUUGCACAAUGGGCGCAAGCCUGAUGCAGCGACGCCGCGUGGGGGAUGACGGCCUUCGGGUUGUAAACCCCUUUCAGCACAGACGAAGCGUAAGUGACGGUAUGUGCAGAAGAAGCACCGGCCAACUACGUG
rnacentral:rRNA from 1 species